rnacentral:rRNA from 1 species
CAUAAACCAAGGCAGCACAAAACACCACUGCCCGCCAAAACAUUACAAGCAACAACUUAAAAUUUAAAGGACUUGACGGUGUUGCAAACCGACCUAGAGGAGCCUGUCCCAUAAUCGAUAACCCACGUUUUACCUCACCCCCCCUUGCCUUUCCGCCUAUAUACCGCCGUCGAAAGCCCGCCUCCUGAGAGUCCCACAGCGAGCAAAAAAGCCCAACCACUAAAACGUCAGGUCAAGGUGUAGCUAAUGGGGCGGACACAAGAUGGGCUACAUUCCCUGCUCAGGGCACACCACAAACCCAAUGAAACCAGGACCGAAGCCGGAUUUAGCAGUAAAUAUGACCAGACUAACCAAAUUGAAACACGCGCUG